rnacentral:rRNA from 1 species
AACGCUGGCGGCAGGCCUAACACAUGCAAGUCGAACGGUAACAGGAAGAAGCUUGCUUCUUUGCUGACGAGUGGCGGACGGGUGAGUAAUGUCUGGGAAACUGCCUGAUGGAGGGGGAUAACUACUGGAAACGGUAGCUAAUACCGCAUAACGUCGCAAGACCAAAGAGGGGGACCUUCGGGCCUCUUGCCAUCGGAUGUGCCCAGAUGGGAUUAGCUAGUAGGUGGGGUAAAGGCUCACCUAGGCGACGAUCCCUAGCUGGUCUGAGAGGAUGACCAGCCACACUGGAACUGAGACACGGUCCAGACUCCUACGGGAGGCAGCAGUGGGGAAUAUUGCACAAUGGGCGCAAGCCUGAUGCAGCCAUGCCGCGUGUAUGAAGAAGGCCUUCGGGUUGUAAAGUACUUUCAGCGGGGAGGAAGGGAGUAAAGUUAAUACCUUUGCUCAUUGACGUUACCCGCAGAAGAAGCACCGGCUAACUCCGUGCCAGCAGCCGCGGUAAUACGGAGGGUGCAAGCGUUAAUCGGAAUUACUGGGCGUAAAGCGCACGCAGGCGGUUUGUUAAGUCAGAUGUGAAAUCCCCGGGCUCAACCUGGGAACUGCAUCUGAUACUGGCAAGCUUGAGUCUCGUAGAGGGGGGUAGAAUUCCAGGUGUAGCGGUGAAAUGCGUAGAGAUCUGGAGGAAUACCGGUGGCGAAGGCGGCCCCCUGGACGAAGACUGACGCUCAGGUGCGAAAGCGUGGGGAGCAAACAGGAUUAGAUACCCUGGUAGUCCACGCCGUAAACGAUGUCGACUUGGAGGUUGUGCCCUUGAGGCGUGGCUUCCGGAGCUAACGCGUUAAGUCGACCGCCUGGGGAGUACGGCCGCAGGGUUAAAACUCAAAUGAAUUGACGGGGGCCCGCACAAGCGGUGGAGCAUGUGGUUUAAUUCGAUGCAACGCGAAGAACCUUACCUGGUCUUGACAUCCACAGAACUUUCCAGAGAUGGAUUGGUGCCUUCGGGAACUGUGAGACAGGUGCUGCAUGGCUGUCGUCAGCUCGUGUUGUGAAAUGUUGGGUUAAGUCCCGCAACGAGCGCAACCCUUAUCCUUUGUUGCCAGCGGUCCGGCCGGGAACUCAAAGGAGACUGCCAGUGAUAAACUGGAGGAAGGUGGGGAUGACAUCAAGUCAUCAUGGCCCUUACGACCAGGGCUACACACGUGCUACAAUGGCGCAUACAAAGAGAAGCGACCUCGCGAGAGCAAGCGGACCUCAUAAAGUGCGUCGUAGUCCGGAUUGGAGUCUGCAACUCGACUCCAUGAAGUCGGAAUCGCUAGUAAUCGUGGAUCAGAAUGCCACGGUGAAUACGUUCCCGGGCCUUGUACACACCGCCCGUCACACCAUGGGAGUGGGUUGCAAAAGAAGUAGGUAGCUUAACCUUCGGGAGGGCGCUUACCACUUUGUGAUUCAUGACUGGGGUGAAG